rnacentral:lncRNA from 1 species
ACCAUCGUCACCACCACUACUACCACCAUCGCCACCACCACCGCCGCCACCACAACUACAGUCUCCACCAUAAACCACCACCACCACCACCACUUACCACCUCCACCACCACCACCUACCACUGCCAUCGCAACCACCUACCUCCACCACAAACACCAACCAUUACUACCACCAACACCACCUGCAACCACCACCUACCAUCGCCGCCACCACCCCACCCGUCACCUGCCACCACCAACUAUUGGAUUGCUAAAGAUAAUGAAUAUAUCCACUGAAAGCUAAUGACCUACAACUUUAGGGCAUAUGAGAUUAUGACCUACAACUUAAGGCUAAUGACUUAUUAUUUAUCGGUCAUUUGGGAUUGUGCCUUUAUGCUUAUUUUACAUUUGGUUAAAAGGAUUUUAUUAUUUUUACAAAUAGUUUUUGUAUUUAUGAUUGUUAACAAACACCACUACAUAAGGCCAAAGGGGAGUUAUGGAUAUAUGGGUAUUAACAAACACCACAAUCACCUGCCGUCACUACCACCAUCCACCGCCACCACUUGUCACCGCUACCACCAUCACCACCACUACUGCUACCACCAUCGCCACCACCAUCGUUACCACUACCGCCACCACCACAACUACAGUCUCCACCACCAACCACUACCACCACCACCACCACCUACCACCUCCACCACCACCUACUACUGCCAUCACUACCAUCUACCUCCACCACCACCACCACAAACACCAACCAUUACUACCACCACCACCACCUACCAUUGCCACCACCACCUACCUCUACCUCCACCACCACAAACACCAACCAUUACUACCACCACCUGCAACCACCACCUACCAUCACCACCGCCACUGCCACUACCACCCCCACCCAUCACCUGCCACCACCACCUAUUAGAUUACUACAGAUAAUCAACAUAUCCACAGAAAGCUAAUGACCUGUAACUUUAGGGCAUAUAAGAUUAUGAC